rnacentral:sRNA from 1 species
AUUAUUCUAAAAUGAAGCUUUAUUUUAAUCUUGGAAACAAAUUAUCAAGUACUCGAAAUGCUCUAACAAAAAAGUAAACCAACGAAGUUCAAACUCUUAAAUAAAAACAGAAACAUCAUUCCUAGUAAAGUAAACCAAACUUUGAAAUGAAGUAGAUUAUUUUGGUGGAAAAUCAUCUUCCACGCUAUUCCCACUAUCUUUGACACUAUCAUUUCAAUGCUCUGAAUGCAUAACUUUUUAGAUGAAGAUGACUGACUCUCACGAAGAUCGUCUACUUCGUCCUUACGCUUGGAUGACGGAGUCAUGGAAUGAGUUUCCAAAGAGUCGACCCUUUCACUACUAUUACUUAAUGGCAUGGUAUCCUAACAAAAUAUUUUCAUAUUAAUCUACAUAAAAACAAUCACGAACUGUAUAAUAGAAAUUAUAAAAUUCCAAUAAAAUAUUACCUGUUCAACUGACACAAUAGUCUGAAGAUCAUCAUGCAAGUCAGAAUCAUGAAUGGUGUCACUUUGUAACGGCUCAAGACCAACCCAAGCGUAUGCCACUUUGUAUGUGUCAUUACCAUCAUUGAUGUUGUCUUUCUCAAUUGACACGACAAACUGGAAUGUUUUUCCAACCAAAUUCACUAAAGGUUGUGGUAGAAUAGUAGGAUCCUUGAUCUGCUUUGAUAAAUUAGGUGGUUAAGCAGACGUUGAAUACAAGUUAGAUAUAACAACAUAUAAUACUUUUAAUCAAACUAUAGAAAACGUUGGAUGCAAGUUACCUCAUCAUACUCUCCAUUAAGAAGAUCAUAAGCAGAGAAAGAGACAAUCUGCUUUGCAUCAGAUUCAAAGAGCAUUAAUUUAGUUAAGCCACUUGAAUUUAUGACAUCAACAAUGAGCUUGUACCUAAAUAACAAUUACAUUAGGUCUUGUUA